UACGUAGGGUGCAAGCGUUGUCCGGAAUUAUUGGGCGUAAAGAGCUUGUAGGCGGUUUGUCGCGUCUGCUGUGAAAUUUCGGGGCUCAACCCCGAACUUGCAGUGGGUACGGGCAGACUAGAGUGUGGUAGGGGAGACUGGAAUUCCUGGUGUAGCGGUGAAAUGUGCAGAUAUCAGGAGGAACACCGGUGGCGAAGGCGGGUCUCUGGGCCGAUACUGACGCUGAGGAGCGAAAGCGUGGGGGAGCGAACAGG
rnacentral:rRNA from 1 species